GGGCAAGCGUUAUCCGGAUUUACUGGGUGUAAAGGGAGCGUAGGCGGCGAUGCAAGUCAGAAGUGAAAGCCCGGGGCUCAACUCCGGGACUGCUUUUGAAACUGUAUGGCUAGAUUGCAGGAGAGGCAAGUGGAAUUCCUAGUGUAGCGGUGAAAUGCGUAGAUAUUAGGAGGAACACCAGUGGCGAAGGCGGCUUGCUGGACUGUAAAUGACGCUGAGGCUCGAAAGCGUGAGGAGCGAACA
rnacentral:rRNA from 1 species